UAGCAACUAGGUCAAUACACUACUUGAUCUUAUCUGAGCAGGCGGCGGCGCUGCCGGGAAUUGGGGGGAGCUGUGGACGGAAAUUGGAACGCCGCCCUCCGUCAGGUGCAGGAGGCUUCCAUAUCUUUCGGUUUUCCCCCUUUGAACCGUCGGACCCUGCUUGUACUGCGAUGAAGACUGCCUGCCGCCGGAGCCAGCCUGUCGCGGCGGCGAUGACGGAUGCGCGGGCUAUCCUUUCAAAAGAAAACUGGAAUUUUGUUUUGUUUGUGUGAAUUUUAUGGUUGUUAUUUUUAAUUUUACUUUUUUGUAGUCACAGGUUUUGAGGAAAGCACAAGCUAAAUUUCAUCCAUGAGUUUGAUCUUUAUGAGCUAUUGUUUAUACAAUAUUUUUCAUUAUCAUUUGCUUAAAAUUAUUUGUACAUUUCUUGUGGCUCUUCAUUGUAGGAAUUGAUCAGAGAUCUGACCUAUGUUUUGCUUUGUUGCUAUUUCCGUUUGAUAUUGCUUGUGCAUGUACUUAUCAUUUUAGUCAUUUGUGCUAACUGGAAUCUUAUAUAUUGAUUACAUGGCAGGAUCCUAUUUCAUCACCAUGUCCUCUGCUUUCAAGUUCAGAUCUGUAGGGGGGAGCUACUUCUAGUUUGAAUUUAAUGUGAUAUUUGGAGCCGUUCGGAGGAAUUGAUCAGAGAUCUGACCUAUGUUUUGCUUUGAUAUUGCUUGUGCCAAGUACAUUUUCUUGGGCCCAAAGUCUUCAUGUGGAUGGGUGCAACUGGAAUCUGAUAUAUUGAUUACAUGGUAGGAUCCUAUUUCAUCACCAUGUCCUCUGUAAAUUUACCAAAGAUUGUUCCUGGAUGUCUUUCUUGAUUACUUACUACCAAGAUUGAGCAGGAUUUAAACCUUGGCCGUGUAUUGUUUUACAAAAUUUGAUGCCCUUGUUUAUUCUCUGACAUUCAAGUUCAGAUCUGCCGAAGAGAGUUAAGCUGCAGGCUGUAGGGUGAAGCUAUACUUCUAGUUUGAAUUUCAUGUGAUCAUUCGUGAGAUGAAUCCAAAUGUAAUGUUCUAAAAAAAAAAUUACUGAUGAAUAUAGUUCCAAAAGUUGGUGUUCAAA